GUAGGAUAGAACUUUACACUGUAAGCUGCUAACUUAGCAGUAAUCUACUAUUCAAUUUACAUGUUAUGACUACAGAUAACAAGGUUUGUAUUUUCUACUCAGGUGGUUGGAUAUUAGUUAUGAAGGUUGUCCCUGCAUUUUUUCUCUAUCGAGGACUGCAUGAGCUUGGUCAAUAUGCAUUCUCUGGAAAUUCUAUGGGAGCCAGCCGUAAAGAAGGAAUUCCUACUGUAUCCUGUGGCAUUCUUAGUCAAAAUUUGUUAUUGCCAUCGGAAGGUGUACUACUUGACCAUGCAGGAUACAAGGUGUCACGAUGAUUUGAUGAGGCGGCACGCUCACUGCAGCUUGACCACGUCAUCCCUGCCAAUGCCGAUUAGCUCAGCCUUGGUGGCGGCGGGCUCCUAGACCACCUCAAGUAGGCGCCUACUGCGGCGGCCGACAUGUGAGGUAUGCUCUUUGGUACCAGCUCUUCAUUCUCGACAUCUGGUUGUGUCUGUUCCUCAUAUUGUCUCCAAAUACCAGUGUGAAAAGGCUUUCUUUUAGAUCUUCUCAUUAUGGUUCUCCAAAUACAAUACAUUCAAUGAUAUUGUAGUUUUUGUGGGCUUGUUCUUUAUAAGAAAAUAAUUGUACACAUAGCACUAUAGUUAGAAGCAGGUCUAUGAAGGCAUGGCUUCAAAAUUCCAUAUACAUGUUUUGUUCCUUUUCUGUUCCAUAUCUAUGGUUUUCAUACUAAUUUAUGUUUUCCCCUCAAGGGAGGACAUGUGUAUUUGAGAGAGAGUUAUGGAAAAGAGGGGGCUGGACUAAGAGGAAGGAGUGGAAUCACAUGAUGUGCAUUGCAUUUCUAUUUAUGUGCAAUCCAGUUAUAUAUUGAUAAGGCUUUAUACAAUAAUAAGCUCCCUAUCUGUUGAACGUUACAAUUAGUACAGAGGCACAAGUCAUUUCUGACAAUUGAAGAUCAAACAAACAAUACUGCAGAAUUAUGCCAAUAUAAGUUUUAGAUGUACAUUGAACUUGUCAGUUUUACUGUCACCUUUCAUUUUGGAGACAUGGCUAACUAUUUUCUCCACUAUUUGGCAUCUUCCCAUGUUCAUCUUGACAGUCUGGAUUUUUAUGAUCUUGUUUUCUAUUUGCAGGGGCAAAUUAUAUUUCAAUGAUACAAAGGGCUGAUGUUAGUUUUGGUAUAUGUGGUCAAGAAGGUUGUCAAGUAGUGAUGGCCUCAGAUU